AUGGGCCAGAGCCACCGCCGACUCUUGCUCGUAUCUUUGUCCGUGCUGCUUCUCACAGCCACGCCCGUCGCCGCCGACAGCACGUUGACACAGCGGAGUGCCAUCGCCGCCGACCAGAGGCUGGUCUCGCCGGGAGACGUCUUCCAGCUCGGCCUCUUCCCCGUCGCCAACGGCACCAAGUGGUUCCUCGGCAUAUGGUUCACCGUCUCCCCGGCCGCCGUCAUCUGGGUCGCCAACCGCGACCGCCCGCUCAACGCCUCGUCCUCCGGCAUCCUCGCGCUCAGCGGCCGAGGAGACCUCGUGCUCCUCGACGCCGCGAGGGACAACGAGACCGUCUGGUCGUCCAACUCCUCGUCCGCGACGGUAGCGCAGCUCCGCGACAACGGCAACCUGGUGCUCGCGGACGCGGCCGGCGCCGUGGUGUGGCAGAGCUUCGAGCACCCGACCAACACGUUCGUGGCGGAGAUGCGGUGCGGGAAGGACCUGAGGACCGGCGCGCUGUGGGCCCUCUCGUCGUGGCGCGGCGCCGACGACCCGUCGCCCGGGGACUUCCGCUACGUGAUGGACACCAGCAGCGGCUCGCCGGAGCUGCACGUCUGGGGCAAGGGGCGCAAGACGUACCGAACCGGGCCGUGGAACGGGAUGCGGUUCAGCGGCAUCCCGGAGAUGACCGCCUUCGAGGACAUGUUCGAGUUCCGGUUCACCAACACCACCGACGAGGUCUCCUACGUGUUCCGCGACCGCGCCGGCUCGCCGGUGUCCCGCGUCGUCCUGAACGAGACCGGCGUCAUGCAGCGCAUGGUCUGGGACCAAGCGGCGGUGACGUGGAGCGUCUUCUGGUCGGGGCCGCGCGACCAGUGCGAUCGCUACGGCCUGUGCGGCGCCUUCGGCGUCUGCAACGUGGUGGACGCCGUGGUGUGCGGCUGCGUCCGAGGGUUCCGGCCCAGCUCGCCGGCGGAGUGGCGCAUGCGGAACGCGUCCGGCGGGUGCGCCCGCAGCACGCCGCUACAGUGCGGCUUGGGUGGUGGUGACGGGUUCUAUGCCCUGCGCGGCGUGAAGCUGCCGGAGACGCACGGCAGCAGCGUGGACGCCAGCGCCUCGCUUGAGGAGUGCGGCCGGAGGUGCCUGGCCAACUGCUCGUGCACGGCAUACGCCGCGUCGGAUAUCCGUGGUGGUGGAGGCGGGAGCGGAUGCAUUCAGUGGUUCGGCGAGCUGAUGGACACGCGGUUCGUCGACGGCGGCCAGGAUCUCUUCGUCAGGCUGGCAAUGUCUGACCUAGGUAAAUCAAAUGCUCUAGGCAACGUUACUUUGCAUAGAUCAAUGCUUGUCAGUUUGAGAGUUAGUUAA
rnacentral:rRNA from 1 species